GACAGAGGUCCCGAGCGUUAGGCGGAAUCACUGGGCUUAAAGCGUGUGUAGGCGGAUUUGUAAGUACCUUGUGAAAUCCCACGGCUUAACCUGGAACUGCUGGGUAUACUGCAAUCUUGGGCCCUCUAGGGGGCUAGCGGAACAAAACGGUGGAGCGGUGAAAAUGCGUAGAUAUCGUUUUGGAACGCCAAUGGUGAAAAAACA
rnacentral:rRNA from 1 species